GGGGUAACGGCCCACCGGGGCGACGAUCAGUAGGGGUUCUGAGAGGAAGGUCCCCCACAUUGGAACUGAGACACGGUCCAAACUCCUACGGGAGGCAGCAGUGAGGAAUAUUGGUCAAUGGGCGCGAGCCUGAACCAGCCAAGUAGCGUGCAGGAUGACGGCCCUACGGGUUGUAAACUGCUUUUAUGCGGGGAUAAAGUCCGCCACGUGUGGCGUUUUGCAGGUACCGCAUGAAUAAGGACCGGCUAAUUCCGUGCCAGCAGCCGCGGUAAUACGGAAGGUCCGGGCGUUAUCCGGAUUUAUUGGGUUUAAAGGGAGCGUAGGCCGCCGAUUAAGCGUGUUGUGAAAUGCCGUGGCUCAACCAUGGCACUGCAGCGCGAACUGGUUGGCUUGAGUGCGCGGAAGGCAGGCGGAAUUCGUGGUGUAGCGGUGAAAUGCUUAGAUAUCACGAAGAACCCCGAUUGCGAAGGCAGCUUGCCGCAGCGCUACUGACGCUGAAGCUCGAAGGUGCGGGUAUCGAA
rnacentral:rRNA from 1 species